rnacentral:rRNA from 1 species
UACGUAGGGUGCGAGCGUUAAUCGGAAUUACUGGGCGUAAAGCGUGCGCAGGCGGUUUUGUAAGACAGGUGUGAAAUCCCCGGGCUUAACCUGGGAAUGUCAUCUGUGACUGCAAAGCUAGAGUACGGCAGAGGGGGAUGGAAUUCCGCGUGUAGCAGUGAAAUGCGUAGAUAUGCGGAGGAACACCGAUGGCGAAGGCAAUCCCCUGGGCCUGUACUGACGCUCAUGCACGAAAGCGUGGGGAGCAAACAGG